ensembl:miRNA
GCCUUCGGUUGUCGCGCGAGCUCGGGCUCUGCGCUCGGAUGCCGGCUCGUGUUCGAGCUCGCGUCCCAUGGGGC